rnacentral:rRNA from 1 species
UACGAGUGCUCCAAGCGUUAUCCGGAAUUAUUGGGCGUAAAGGGUGUGUAGGCGGUAGUGUUAGUCUUUUGUUAAAUUCUUCGGCUUAACCGGGGGCAUGCGAAAGAAACGGCACAACUAGAGGAUGCGAGAGGUGAAUGGAACUCAUGGAGUAGGGGUGAAAUCCGUUGAUAUCAUGGGGAACACCAAAUGCGAAGGCAGUUCACUGGCGCACUCCUGACGCUGAGACACGAAAGCGUAGGUAGCGAAUGGG